GACGAACGCUGGCGGCGUGCCUAAUACAUGCAAGUAGAACGCACAGUUUAUACCGUAGCUUGCUACACCAUAGACUGUGAGUUGCGAACGGGUGAGUAACGCGUAGGUAACCUGCCUGGUAGCGGGGGAUAACUAUUGGAAACGAUAGCUAAUACCGCAUAAUAUUAAUUAUUGCAUGAUAAUUAAUUGAAAGGUGCAAUUGCACCACUACCAGAUGGACCUGCGUUGUAUUAGCUAGUAGGUGAGGUAACGGCUCACCUAGGCGACGAUACAUAGCCGACCUGAGAGGGUGAUCGGCCACACUGGGACUGAGACACGGCCCAGACUCCUACGGGAGGCAGCAGUAGGGAAUCUUCGGCAAUGGACGAAAGUCUGACCGAGCAGCGCCGCGUGAGUGAAGAAGGUUUUCGGAUCGUAAAGCUCUGUUGUAAGAGAAGAACGGGUGUGAGAGUGGAAAGUUCACACUGUGACGGUAUCUUACCAGAAAGGGACGGCUAACUACGUG
rnacentral:rRNA from 1 species